UGCAACCUUUAUGUUUUCAUUAAUCUGGUCCGUGUUGAAAAUCCAGUGACUUUCCUCUGACCUUUGACCUGCUGCCACCAGCUUUGUUGACGUUGUGAAAUGAUAUCCAGAAAAAAAAAAAGUGUUUGUUUUGAAAAUCUCCAGGACUCCCCCUGUGCGCUUCCCGUGUCCGACUUCCUACCUGGUUAAUCUGCUGUCUGCAGGCAAAGAAAACAAAGGCGUCCCUGGUCCAGAGAACGAGGACGGGCAAGCCAGAAGGAAAGGAGGGGAAAGCAAAAAAGCCGAGGACAAUAGUCAUUCUGUCCCCAGAGAGGGCCUCCAGCCAUACUUCUGCCAGAGACAGGAAGUCCAGCAUAAUGUUUGCCAAACCGGAGGCUACAAGGGGUUCCCUGAAGGAAACCUGAGACAGCGGGACACCGGAUCACAGAAGGGACCCGGGCCCCCCUUUCUGCAUGUGCAGGUACAAUGGAACCUGCUGCUCCGAGGACCAUUCAUCACCGGCGAGGGACACGGACCCACUGUGUGUACAGUGACAUCACUGAACAGUAAAAUAUGUCCUAUAACGCGCUUUCCUGAAGACGCAGGAAAAGUAGAAGUCACGUCUUCUUCCAUCGUAAAGCACGAUGAGCGACAGGGUGGAGCAUGAGACCGCCUUAUGGAUACAUGAAAAAAAGUUUCAAUUCAGAAGUUGCUUUGAGUUAAAAAAAUAAAUAAACAAAAGAGCAAACAACACCAACAACUUUGGAGCAUUUGAUGUUUAAAUGUAAAUUAAGUUUUGAACAAAUUAGUGAUUUUUUUUUAUGACAGAGUAUUAGGAAAACGCUAAGAAAA